rnacentral:lncRNA from 1 species
UGCCGUAAUCAUCUCAUAAAGGUUUCUCUCUGCUAAAGUGAAAGUAGAUUUCCAGAAAACCUCUCUCGUCGUAUUUAUAGAAAGUUGACUAAGUGGAACGACAGCUGACGGGACUUUCCCGUAGGUCGAAGGUCGUCUUCUUCUUCUUCAAAACAAACAAUUGCCAUGUGUAAGAAGGUUUAGUUUUCUUAAAACAUUCAAAACCUUCACACUAAAUUAUAAGGACAUCAAGACAGCAUAAAUUCCGACUGCUCUUGCAGGC